rnacentral:rRNA from 1 species
GUCCUCUUGUUUAUAUAUGAGGUCUGACCUGCCCGGUGAAAGUUAUUUUAACGGCCGCAGUAUUUUGACUGUGCAAAGGUAGCAUAAUCAUUAGUCUUUUAAUAGGGGGCUGGUAUGAAGGGUUUGACGAGGUGUUAACUGUCUCAUUUAAUUUGUAUUUAGAAUUUAACUUUUCAGUUAAAAGGCUGAAAUUGUAUUGGAAGACGAGAAGACCCUAUAGAGCUUUAUAAUUAUUAUUUUAAUUGUUUUUUGUGAUAUAAAUUAUGAUUAUAAUCUUAAUUAUUUUGUUGGGGUGACAAAAAUAUAUAUUUAACUUUUUUAUUUAAUUGACAUUGAUUUAUGAAUAUUAGAUCCAGUCUUAUUGAUUGUUAGAUUAAGUUACC